UACAGAGGUCUCAAGCGUUGUUCGGAUUCAUUGGGCGUAAAGGGCGCGUAGGCGGCGGGGUAAGUCGGGUGUGAAAUCUCAGAGCUCAACUCUGAAACUGCACUCGAUACUGCUCUGCUUGAGGACUGGAGAGGAGACUGGAAUUCACGGUGUAGCAGUGAAAUGCGUAGAUAUCGUGAGGAAGACCAGUGGCGAAGGCGGGUCUCUGGACAGUUCCGUGACGCUGAGGCGCGAAGGCCAGGGGAGCCAAAGCGG
rnacentral:rRNA from 1 species